rfam:Salmo salar isolate Sally breed double haploid chromosome ssa26, whole genome shotgun sequence.
UGCAUUCACUACUGUAAGUUGUUGCUCUGGAUAAGAGCGUCUGCUAAAUGACUAAAA